AUUGAACGCUGGCGGCAGGCCUAACACAUGCAAGUCGAGCGGAUGAAGGGAGCUUGCUCCUGGAUUCAGCGGCGGACGGGUGAGUAAUUCCUAGGAAUCUGCCUGGUAGUGGGGGAUAACGUCCGGAAACGGGCGCUAAUACCGCAUACGUCCUGAGGGUGAAAGUGGGGGAUCUUCUGACCUCACGCUAUCAGCUGAGCCUAGGUCGGAUUACCUAGUUGGUAGGGUAAAGGCCUACCAAGGCGACGAUCCGUAACUGGUUUGAGAGGAUGAUGAGUCACAUGGGAAUUGAGAAAGGGCCCAGACUCUUACGGGAGGAGCCGUAGGGGAAUAUUGGAAAAGGGGCGAAAGCCUGAUGCAGAAAGGCGGCGUGGGUGAAGAAGGUCUUGGAAUUGUAAAGCACGUUAAGUUGGGAGGAAGGGCAGUAAGUUAAAAACUUGAUGUUUUGACGUUACCAACAGAAUAAGCACCGGCUAACUUCGUG
rnacentral:rRNA from 1 species